UUAGAAGCAGCCAUCAUUUAAAGAAAGCGUAAUAGCUCACUGGUCGAGUCGGCCUGCGCGGAAGAUGUAACGGGGCUAAACCAUGCACCGAAGCUGCGGCAGCGAACGUAUCACUUAAAGCGAUUCAGCGGGUUACGAUUGACGGAGCGAAGCGACGUCAAAGCGUAUACAAAGUCGAGUCGGUUUAAGGAUACGUUCGUUGGGUAGGGGAGCGUUCUGUAAGCCUGUGAAGGUGGCCUGUGAGGGUUGCUGGAGGUAUCAGAAGUGCGAAUGCUGACAUAAGUAACGAUA
rnacentral:rRNA from 1 species